UGCGCAGCGGGCAGCGCCUGGCCGGAGGCUGCAAGCACCCCAGUGGGCAUCUACCUGCCCAGGCCACCCACAGCCCCUCCUCUGGGGGUGGUGGGAUGGUUCAGGGCACCGCAGCAGCUCAGCUGUGUCCCAUGUGCCAGCCCCAGCAGAUCUCCUCUGGGACGUGGCUGUUGCCUCGUGCCAAAAUCCCCUGACUAUCUGACUGCACGGCUCUCACACAAAUUGGACAGGCUCAGUUAGAGCAAAGCAGCCCUAGUCUGAGCUUCUCACACAGUGCUGGAAUGAGGACUCCUGGGCAGGCAGUGAUGAGUCCUGCCUCCUCUCACUGAGGAUGUUCAAGUCAAGUCCCCAGGCCCCUGCAGCUACAAUGGGCAUGAGUUACAUGAAAUGCCCACGCACAUGCAACCUCUGCUUGCAGGACAGAAAUCCUCUCUGAAACACGCAAUCCAGUACACCUUGUUGGCAGCAGUCAUUGCAGACCUUCCCCUCUCCCUCCCUUGGGAUUUCGGAUCUGAAAACUCUGCCAACACACAGCAAGAUGAGCCCCUCAUCGCCAGCUGUGCCCUCCUGCCCCAAGCACAGUGGCAGGAACGCCCGUGGGACAGCCGUGCAGGAGUGCUCCAUCCAGCUUGGCCUCGCCCGUUGCUAAGUGAUG